GAUGAACGCUGGCGGCGUGCCUAAUACAUGCAAGUCGAGCGAACAGACGAGGAGCUUGCUCCUCUGACGUUAGCGGCGGACGGGUGAGUAACACGUGGAUAACCCACCUAUAAGACUGGGAUAACUUCGGGAAAACGGAGCUAAUACCGGAUAACAUGUUGAACCGCAUGGUUCAACAGUGAAAAACGGUUUUGCUGUCACUUAUAGGUGGAUCCGCGUCGCAUUAGCUAGUUGGUAAGGUAAAGGCUUACCAAGGCAACGAUGCGUAGCCGACCUGAGAGGGUGAUCGGCCACACUGGAACUGAGACACGGUCCAGACUCCUACGGGAGGCAGCAGUAGGGAAUCUUCCGCAAUGGGCGAAAGCCUGACGGAGCAACGCCGCGUGAGUGAAGAAGGUCUUCGGAUCGUAAAACUCUGUUAUUAGGGAAGAACAAAUGUGUAAGUAACUAUGCACGUCUUGACGGUACCUAAUCAGAAAGCCACGGCUAACUACGUG
rnacentral:rRNA from 1 species